rnacentral:rRNA from 1 species
GACGAACGCUGGCGGCGUGCCUAAUACAUGCAAGUAGAACGCUGAAGAGAGGAGCUUACUCUUCUUGGAUGAGUUGCGAACGGGUGAGUAACGCGUAGGUAACCUGCCUUGUAGCGGGGGAUAACUAUUGGAAACGAUAGCUAAUACCGCAUAACAAUGGAUGACACAUGUCAUUUAUUUGAAAGGGGCAAUUGCUCCACUACAAGAUGGACCUGCGUUGUAUUAGCCAGUAGGUGAGGUAAUGGCUCACCUAGGCGACGAUACAUAGCCGACCUGAGAGGGUGAUCGGCCACACUGGGACUGAGACACGGCCCAGACUCCUACGGGAGGCAGCAGUAGGGAAUCUUCGGCAAUGGGGGCAACCUUGACCGAGCAACGCCGCGUGAGUGAAGAAGGUUUUCGGAUCGUAAAGCUCUGUUGUAAGUCAAGAACGGGUGUGAGAGAGGAAAGUUCACACUGUGACGGUAGCUUACCAGAAAGGGACGGCUAACUACGUG